CUAGGAAAUCAGUUGCCAGAUGCAAAUGUCCCAGUAUGAGAUAAGGGUGGGAGGUAGCUGUGGAAUGAGGGAGAAACAAUAUCAGUAUUUACCAGAAAGUAAGAUGGCUAAAUAAAUAAUGAGGUAUUCAUUCCAUGGGCAUGCAGUCAUUGAAAGGAGUGAGGUAGAUCUGAAUGUUUUAUUAUGGAACCAUCUCCAAGACAUAUUAUGAUUUUAAAAAAAAGCUUGAAGUAGAAAAUUACAUAUAGUUUGAUAUCCUAAGUGUUAAAGGAUCUACACAGCAAUAGUGUACUUUUUAAAAUAGUUUUACCUGAGCAUAAAUGAAUAGAAACAAGUGCUGGACACACGCAGUGCUAACAGGGGUUAAUCCUGUGGAGGGGGCAGGGAACUGGAACCAGAUGUGGCUAAUGGGGCAUUUUUACUUUUAUCAGUAAUACUUCAAUUUCUUAUAAAGGAAUGCAUUUCUUUACUACAUGUGUAACUAAAAACUAUUUCAAAAGAGAAAGAGUGCUCGUGAGAUAAUGAGUGUGAAACUACUCUGAAAAACAGAAAAUGCUGGGUAGAUGUGAACUUUUACUAUUCACUCUGCCCAGGUCACACCACAUCUAUCACAGCCAUUUCCACCUCAGGCAAGGCAGGCAAAGCAACUCAUUCCCUCCUCCCUCUGUUCCCUUCACGACUAGCUUCAAGAACUCUGUGGAAGGGGGGUUGGGCUUCCACUGGUUCCCUCCCUGUGCACAUAACCAAACAGUGAAUGUGAUGGCCUUAAGGCGGAGCCUACAUCAGGCCCUAGGUAAAAGCCUGUUGAUUAAACCCUCUAUUGGUUAUGGGCCUCCAAGUACAACAUGUAAACCUC
rnacentral:lncRNA from 1 species